rnacentral:rRNA from 1 species
GACGAACGCUGGCGGCGUGGAUUAGGCAUGCAAGUCGAACGGUAUCAUCCUUUCGGGGGUGAGAGAGUGGCGAACUGGUGAGUAACACGUAGGUUAUCUACCCUCAAGACGGGGACAACCCAGGGAAACUUGGGCUAAUACCGGAUGUGAGCAACUUUUAGUUGUUUGAAAGGUGGCGUAAGCUGUCGCUUGGGGAUGAGCCUGCGUCCUAUUAGUUAGUUGGUGAGGUAACGGCUCACCUAGGCAAUGAUAGGUAGGCGGCCUUAACGGGUGGUCGCCCACACUGGGAUUGAGAUACGGCCCAGACUCCUACGGGAGGCAGCAGUCGAGAAUAGUCUACAAUGGUCGGAAGACUGAUAGUGCGACGCCGCGUGAACGAUGAAUCCCUUCGGGGUGUAAAGUUCUUUUAUAUGUGAGCAGUGCUUCUUAUAUUAACAGUAUGGGGAAGAGAUAUUAGCAUAUGAAUAAGCAACGGCUAACUCCGUGCCAGCAGCCGCGGUAAG